rnacentral:rRNA from 1 species
GACAGAGGUGCCGAGCGUUAGGCGGAAUCACUGGGCUUAAAGCGUGUGUAGGCGGACCGUUAAGUACCUUGUGAAAUCCCCCGGCUCAACCGGGGAACGGCUGGGUAUACUGGCGGUCUUGAGCCAUCCAGGGGCAGUCGGAACAGACGGUGGAGCGGUGAAAUGCGUAGAUAUCGUCUGGAACGCCGAAGGUGAAAACAGCUCGCUGGGGCUGCGCUGACGCUGAGACACGAAAGCCAGGGGAGCGAACGGG